UAGGGAAUCUUCCGCAAUGGGCGAAAGCCUGACGGAGCAACGCCGCGUGAGUGAUGAAGGUCUUCGGAUCGUAAAACUCUGUUAUCAGGGAAGAACAAAUGUGUAAGUAACUAUGCACGUCUUGACGGUACCUAAUCAGAAAGCCACGGCUAACUACGUGCCAGCAGCCGCGGUAAUACGUAGGUGGCAAGCGUUAUCCGGAAUUAUUGGGCGUAAAGCGCGCGUAGGCGGUUUUUUAAGUCUGAUGUGAAAGCCCACGGCUCAACCGUGGAGGGUCAUUGGAAACUGGAAAACUUGAGUGCAGAAGAGGAAAGUGGAAUUCCAUGUGUAGCGGUGAAAUGCGCAGAGAUAUGGAGGAACACCAGUGGCGAAGGCGACUUUCUGGUCUGUAACUGACGCUGAUGUGCGAAAGCGUGGGGAUCAAACAGG
rnacentral:rRNA from 2 species